rnacentral:rRNA from 1 species
UACGGGGGGGGCGAGCGUUGUUCGGAAUUACUGGGCGUAAAGGGCGCGUAGGCGGCCUGCUAAGUCGGAUGUGAAAUCCCUCGGCUCAACCGAGGAACUGCAUCCGAUACUGGCGGGCUUGAAUCCGGGAGAGGGAUGUAGAAUUCCAGGUGUAGCGGUGAAAUGCGUAGAUAUCUGGAGGAAUACCGGUGGCGAAGGCGGCAUCCUGGACCAUUACUGACGCUGAGGCGCGAAAGCUAGGGGAGCAAACGGG